rnacentral:rRNA from 1 species
UUCCGGAGAGGGAGCCUGAGAAACGGCUACCACAUCCAAGGAAGGCAGCAGGCGCGCAAAUUACCCAAUCCCGACACGGGGAGGUAGUGACAAUAAAUACUGAUACAGGGCUCUUUUGGGUCUUGUAAUUGGAAUGAGUACAAUUUAAAUCCCUUAACGAGGAACAAUUGGAGGGCAAGUCUGGUGCCAGCAGCCGCGGUAAUUCCAGCUCCAAUAGCGUAUAUUAAAGUUGUCGCAGUUAAAAAGCUCGUAGUUGAACCUUGGGCCUGGCUGGCCGGUCCGCCUCACCGCGUGCACUGGUCCGGCCGGGCCUUUCCUUCUGGGGAGCCGCAUGCCCUUCACUGGGUGUGUCGGGGAACCAGGACUUUUACUUUGAGAAAAUUAGAGUGUUCCAAAGCAGGCCUAUGCUCGAAUACAUUUAGCAUGGAAUAAUAGAAUAGGACGUGUGGGUUCUAUUUUGUUGGUUUCUAGGACCGCGUAAUGAUUAAUAGGGAUAGUCGGGGGCUUCAGUAUUCAAUUGUCAGAGGUGGAAUUCUUGGUUUAUUGAAGACUAAUUAUUGGAAAGCUUGGCAGGUGUUUCAUUAUCAGUGAACGAAGUAGGG